GAUACUUUGGUACAAGAAAAUUUACAUUUACAAAAAAAUGUAUCUCAGUUAACUACUGAUAAAAGUAUUUUGGCAAACGAGAAAAAGUAUAUAGAAGAAUUGGAAUCACAACGGAAAGCUGACUGUUAUAGGCUGACAGAAGACAAAAUAAAAUUACAAGACACAGCCAAUCAACUUUUAGAGCAAAUAG